AGGACGAACGCUGGCGGCGUGCUUAACACAUGCAAGUGGAGCGACGAACCAGGGCUUGCCCUGGGGCAGAGCCGCGAACGGGUGAGUAACACGUGGGUUACCUGCCUCGAUGACCGGGACAACCCGAGGAAACUCGGGCUAAUACCGGAUGUGCCCGCAAGGGGAAAGGAAGCUUCGGCCUCCGCAUCGAGAUGGGCCCGCGGCCCAUUAGCUUGUUGGUGAGGUAACGGCUCACCAAGGCUUCGAUGGGUAGCUGGUCUGAGAGGACGAUCAGCCACACUGGGACUGAGACACGGCCCAGACUCCUACGGGAGGCAGCAGUGGGGAAUCUUGCGCAAUGCGCGAAAGCGUGACGCAGCAACGCCGCGUGGGGGAAGAAGGCUUUCGGGUGUAACCCUUUCAGUUGGGACGAAGCUUCUCCGGUGAAUAGCCGGACGGAGUGACGGUACCUUCACAAGAAGCACCGGCUAACUACGUGCCAGCAGCCGC
rnacentral:rRNA from 1 species